rnacentral:rRNA from 1 species
CAGCCGCCGCGGUAAUACGAGGGGAGCUAGCGUUGUUCGGAAUUACUGGGCGUAAAGCGCGCGUAGGCGGCUUUUUAAGUCAGAGGUGAAAGCCCGGGGCUCAACCCCGGAAUUGCCUUUGAAACUGGAAAGCUAGAAUCUUGGAGAGGUCAGUGGAAUUCCGAGUGUAGAGGUGAAAUUCGUAGAUAUUCGGAAGAACACCAGUGGCGAAGGCGACUGACUGGACAAGUAUUGACGCUGAGGUGCGAAAGCGUGGGGAGCAAACAGGAUUAGAUACCCGCGUAGUCCCUGUCUCUUAUAC